UGAAGGGGGAGACGUCGGCGGGGGCCCCGGGAAGAGUUCUCUUUUCUUCUUAACUGUCUAUCACCCUGAAAUCGGUUUGUCCGGAGCUAGGGUUUAAUGGCAGGUAGAGCGGCACACCUUUGUGCCGUCCGGUGCGCUCUCGACGACCCUUGAAAAUCCGCCGGAAGGAAUGAUUUUCACGCGAGGUCGUACUCAUAACCGCAGCAGGUCUCCAAG
rnacentral:rRNA from 1 species